CUGUCUAAUAGUGCAAGACAACGCGUUUACGAGUACGAGGACGGUGUGGCUCGAAGAACUGCCCGUGGGCGACCGGGUCGGCGAGCAAAUGUCUUACGUGCCGAAGGGCUACAAGUACGACGAGACGCCGGUCAAACGGAUUUUGGUGUAUAACGGCCGCGGAUUCGUCUGGGAAAUAAUUCAGCCGCACCAAGCGCAGUUUGUCGGUUGUCCCGUGAGCCGGUGCUGGAUAACGUUCGACCAAGAUGACGGUCCGGAAG